GAGACGCUUAUUCGCGUUCAUCUGCACAUUACCUCUUGAAGGAGACCCGACCUUUGCUACGGAGAAUGUCACCGUUGUGCGAGGUAGGUGUCUGUUUAACGGCAGAGAGAUCGUCGAUAGACACACGAUGAAAAUGAGCAUUCCCUGUGUUGAAGCAACAUGCUGGGCUCCUUCAAAGUUGGUGCUACUUAA
rnacentral:lncRNA from 1 species